UGGGGGAUAUUGCACAAUGGGCGAAAGCCUGAUGCAGCGACGCCGCGUGGGGGAUGAAGGCCUUCGGGUUGUAAACUUCUUUUGCUCUGAACAAGGCAUGCCUUUGGGGUGUGUUGAGUGUAGGGGUUGAUUAGCGCCGGCUAACUACGUGCCAGCAGCCGCGGUAAUACGUAGGGCGCGAGCGUUGUUCGGAAUUAUUGGGCGUAAAGGGCUUGUAGGUGGCUGGUUGCGUCUGUCGUGAAAGCUCAUGGCUUAACUGUGGGUUUGCGGUGGGUACGGGCUGGCUUGAGUGCAGUAGGGGAGGCUGGAAUUCCUGGUGUAGCGGUGGAAUGCGCAGAUAUCAGGAGGAAUACCGGUGGCGAAGGCGGGUCUCUGGGCUGUUACUGACGCUGAGGAGCGAAAGCGUGGGGAGCGAACAGG
rnacentral:rRNA from 1 species